rnacentral:rRNA from 1 species
UACGAAGGGGGCUAGCGUUGCUCGGAAUCACUGGGCGUAAAGCGCACGUAGGCGGACUCUUAAGUCGGUGGUGAAAUCCUGGAGCUCAACUCCAGAACUGCCUUCGAUACUGAGAGUCUCGAGUCCGAGAGAGGUGAGUGGAACUGCGAGUGUAGAGGUGAAAUUCGUAGAUAUUCGCAAGAACACCAGUGGCGAAGGCGGCUCACUGACUCGGUACUGACGCUGAGGUGCGAAAGCGUGGGGAGCAAACAGG